rnacentral:rRNA from 1 species
AUUGAACGCUGGCGGCAGGCCUAACACAUGCAAGUCGAGCGAGCGGCGGACGGGUGAGUCCUGUCUGGGAACCUGCCUGAUGGAGGGGGAUAACUACUGGCAACGGUAGCUACUACCGCAUACCAUCAGAUGUGCCCAGAUGGGAUUAGCUAGUAGGUGGGGUAACGGGUCACCUAGGCGACGAUCCCUAGAUGGUCUGAGAGGAUGACCAGCCACACUGGAACUGAGACACGGUCCAGACUCCGACGUGAGGCAGCAGAGGGGAAGAGUGCACAAUGGGUGCAAGCCGGAUGCAGCCAUGCCGCGUGUGGGAAGAAGGCCUUCGGGUUGUAAAGCACUUGCAGCGGGGAGGCGUUACCCGCAGAAGAAGCACCGGCUAACUCCGUGCCAGCAGCCGCGGUAAUUC